rnacentral:rRNA from 1 species
UACGUAGGAGGCGAGCGUUGUCCGGAGUUACUGGGCGUAAAGGGUGCGCAGGCGGCGUCACGCGUGGCUAGAUGAAAUCUCCUGGCUUACCUGGGAGGGUGGUAGCCAGACGGUGGCGCUUGAGGGUCGGAGAGGGGCGUGGAAUUCCGGGUGGAGCGGUGAAAUGCGUAGAUAUUCGCAAGAACACCAGUGGCGAAGGCGGCUCACUGGCCCGAUACUGACGCUGAGGCACGAAAGCGUGGGGAGCAAACAGG